GCCUUUCCUAGUGCCCUUUGCCACUCUCUGUCCCCUCUGCUCCACUUUAUAAUAAUCACACCGACAUUAGACUGCCUUAUCUAUUUUCUGCUUAUUUGAUUAAUAUCUGUCACCACUACUAAAAAACCUUAAGUCCCUGGAGGGCAGGGACUUUGUCUCUGGUUCACUGCUGUUUCCUGGCCCCUGGUCCCUCUUCAGUGAAGAUCUGGGGACAGUCAGAAGGAAUUGUGGGGCUCAGACAGGGCAAGGUGAGCGUCCCAUACCUAGGGAUCACCGCUGUCACUGUGGGUGAGGUCACAGAACCUGCCUCCGCCUCUUUUAUUCAUCUCGGCCUCCCAGAAUUCAGACUGGGCAGGCGCUUGGGAAGGACAGCCUGGCCAGUCCUCGCCAGGCUGGCGGCCACCGGGUGCUCUUUCCUUCUCUGGAGGUGACUGGAGGUCAAAGAGGUGAAGUGGAGUAUCUGAGGUCACAGAGCAGCUCUGGACUCUCUCAGGGACCAGGGCACGGGCCUCCUAACUGACCACGACCUCAGGACCUCACUCCUUGGUCCCUCCCGGUGGCUGGACUCCAGGACCUGUUUCUCUUGAAAUCGGGAAGAGUGGGCGUCUUUACACCAUGGAGAUGGGCAGACGUAAGGAUUGGCAAGUCAGCGCCUCUGACUCUCAGCCCCCAUUUUUUUUUCUUUGUUCAAACAUCAGUGUUUAGUCGGACAACACAUAAAGUCUAGCAACAUUUACACAACCAGUUUGAGUGUCUGUUGGCUCGUUUUCAAUUGGGAAAUUUAACCAGAAUGUCACCAAAAUGUUGACUGGGACUGGUAUCAUUUAAGAAAUGGGUCGUCUUUGCAUCCCCUAGGCUUGGGCCUCUUGUUCCAUCAGGACUUGGUUAGAGAUGAAUGGCCCACAAGUCACCAGCCUUUGAGCGAUUGUGUCAUGGUGGAAAUUGGGAGUUGGCGGGGGGAGUAGAGUUCAGCCCCCAUUUUUAACAGGCCCCUGGCCCCAGGGCCCGGGGUUCUCAGGCCUCCGGUCACAGGGUCAGCUCUGGAGCUUACAACCAGCAGACCACCCGCCCCUCGAGGGCAGUGAGGACACCUCCUGCAUCUCCCUCUCUCACC
rnacentral:lncRNA from 1 species